rnacentral:lncRNA from 1 species
AAACUUUGAAAUAAACAAGUAUUGCUUGAAAUUUUGGUAAAGGACUUAUUUGAAAAGUGUCAUAGCAUUUUUGGCUAUAUCAUAUUUUCAGAAAGUUUUGGGAUUAACAAAGCAUUACUUAGAAAUUUUGAAAUUGGACCUAUUUGAAAAAUUUCAUAACGUUUUGGGCCGUAAUAUAAUUUUAUAAAGUUUUGGGGUCAAACUAUAAUUUCAAAAAAUAGUGCAUUGUGCAGGUUACUGUAGCAUCCGACUUUCCGGAUAUAAAAACUGAAAAAUCAGAUAUUGGGCAGAAUGUAUCCAGAACGUAAACGGCUUACCGGAUUUCGUAACCGGCAAGCCAAAUAGGCAAAAUUCAAAUUUUUGCCUUAACGGUAACAUAAAUCCGGCUUACCGAAUUCCAUAAACGGUAAACUGGAUACGUCCAGAAUGUGCAUAACGACUAGUUUUUGAGUUCAAACUAUAUAAACUCAAAACCAAUUCAUUUUUGGUAAAUCCAAGCAAGCAAGAACAAGUGCACACAACAUAUAUUGAGCUUCAAUUUCGUGAAUCAUCAUUCAUUAAGUCAUCUUUGUUCUUCAAUUUGUAUAUCCACUCCUAAAGAGAGAUUCAUUGUUGUAUUUUUCAUUUCUCAUCAAAUUGUGAGAGUACAAGUGUGAGAAACACUUGGAGUGAAGAGAUUAGAGAGAUAAUCUCUUGUUGUAAAGGUUCAUUGACACCUUGAAGUCAAUUGUAAACGUUUGAAGCCUUGGAAAGGCUUGGAUUGUGAAAUCCUCAAGCCCGGUGUGCUUGGAGGCGUGGACGUAGGCGGGGAUUGCCAAACCACGUAAAAAUCCUUGAGUUUGCUUUCUCUUCCUUUACUGAUUUAUUAUUGUGCUUUCAUUGAAUUUAUUGUUUUCGAAUUAAUUAAGGCAUUAGAUUGGAUUUGUGUGUGGUUUGCUUUGGAUAAUUUUUAAAAUCCCAAUUCACCCUCCCUCUUGGAUUGCCUAGUUAGUAUUUCAUUUGGUAUCAGAGUAAGGUGCUGUUAUGUAGACUUAACCGUCUAGAGUUAAAAGAUCCAUAGCAACCCAUAAUGACUCAAUCUUUAGGGAAGGACAAUCUACAAUUAGACCACCGUUCUUUGACGAUAAUGACUACCCAUAUUGGAAAACUAGGAUGAGAAUUUAUUUACAAGCUUUAGAUUAUGAAAUUUGGGAAAUUGUUUGUGAUGGUCCAUUUAUGCCUUUGACUAAAAACGAAGACGGGGAAGAUAUUCCAAAACCUUCACGGGAAUGGAAUGAAUUGGAAAAGAGAAAAGCUACUCUAAAUUCUAAAGCUAUGAAUGCCUUGUUUUGUGCACUAGAUAAGAAAGAAUUUCAUAGAGUAUCUAGUUGUGAGAGUGCUAAUGAAAUUUGGCACAAACUUGAAGUUGUUUAUGAAGGCACAAAUCAAGUGAAAGAGUCUAAAAUUAGUAGGUACACUCGGCAAUAUGAAUUGUUCCAAAUUGAACAAAAUGAGAGUAUGUAUUCUAUGUAUACUAGAUUUACAGACAUAGUGAACACUCUAGGAGCCCUAGGAAAGACUUUUUCAAAUAGCGAGAAGGUUAAGAAAAUUAUUAGGUCGCUACCUAAGGAAUGGAGACAAAAAAGGACUGCCAUGGAGGAAGCCAAGGAUUUAAAUAUCUUACCUAUUGAUGAUUUAAUUGGUUCUCUUAUUUCUUAUGAGGAAGACUUGGCAGCCGAAAGAGGUAAUGAGGAGAAGAAGAAAAAUAUUGCUCUCAAAGCCUCGAAACAGGAGAGUGAUGAGGAAAGCGAGCUGGAUGAGGAGGAGAUGGAUAUGCUAGCUAGGAGGUUCAGAAAACUUUUUAAGAAAUCCGGUAAGCGAAGAAAAUUUAGAGACCUCAAGAACCGAAAGGAGAAGAAGGAAUUAAUCAAAUGUUAUGAGUGCAAGAAGCUUAGCCAUAUAAGAACGAAAUGUCCUCUUCUCAACAAGCUCAAGAAGAAAGCAAUGGUAGCCACAUGGGAUGAUAGCGAUGAGGAAACAAGUGAUGAUGAAGAGCAUCAAGAAAUGACAAAUCUAGCUCUCAUGGCAAUUGGAGAUGAAUCGGAUGAUGAGGUAAAUGAUCUUUUUACUUAUGAUGAAUUAUAUGAUGCUUUUAAAGAAUUGCAUGCUAAUUGGAUAAAAAUUGGUAAGAAGAAUGCAUGUCUUAAAAAGAAAAUGGUAGAGCUCAAAAAUGAAAAUGAAUCUCUAUGUGCAAAGAUUACAUGCCUAGAAUUAGAGAAUAAAACAUUGCAUGAUAGAGUUGCAUUAUCAAAUGAGAAACCUAGCACUUCACAUGAGCAUCUAGAAUCAUAUGUAGAUGACUUGAAAAAUGAAAAGGAUGCUUUACAAAAAUGCAAUGAUUCAUUAAAUGAAAAGAUUAAAGGACUAGAGUUAGAUAAUAAAAUGUUGCAUGAUAGAAUUGCAUCAUUUAAAUGCAAACAAAGUACUUCAUAUGAGCAUGAAAAAUCACAUGUUGAUGAAUUGAUGAAAGAAAAUGAAGUGCUUAAGAAAAAGAGUAAUGAGCUCAAUGAAAUUGUGUUAAAAUUCACAAGUAGUCAAAAGAACUUAGAAAAAUUACUAAGUACUCAAAAAUGUGUGUUUGAGAAAGGAGGACUUGGGUAUAAGCCUAACUUGAAACAAAAAUAUUAUAAAAAUUAUUUUGUUAAGGCUACCUCCACAAGUGAUCAUAAGAUCGUUUGUCAUUAUUGUAAUGGAAAUGGUCAUAUGAGUUUUAGAUGUCCAAUUAAGAGAAAUGUAUAUUAUGGAGUCAAGUGUAUUUGGGUUCCAAAAGGAACCGUUGCUAACACUCAAGGACCCAAGAACAUUUGGGUACCAAAGCACACAACUUGAAUAUUUUUUGUAGGUACCACAAAUAAGGAAUGGUGGAGAGUUCCUUGAUGAAGCUUGUGAGGAUAAUCAUUUGAGCAUGAUCUAGGAGAAAAAGAUGAGGCAAGAUGAUUUAAUUGUUUUGGUAAUAAUUCUUGUCAUAUUAAUUUUAUUGAAUGGAUCGUGAUAAAUGGAUAAUAGCUUGAAUUUGUGAAAGUAUACUUGUAUGUUUACAUGAUUGAAUUAUCAUUGUGUUUAACAUUGAGUGCUUUAUCAUAAUGCAUGGUUAUAUAUAUAUAAGAUGAUAGCUUGUCAACUCAUCAUGAUAGCUUUGUUUGAUUUUGAUGAUUAUGUAAUGCCUAAGCUUGAUAAAUGAAUGAUAUGUUUGAAUUAUUAAUCUUUGAAUGCUUAUAUGUUUCAUGAUUGUGUAAAAUAUAUACAUGAUGAAUGAAUUAUAUGCGUGAAUUCUUGUGUCGUUAAUUGUGUUAUAUCAUCAUUCACUUAUAAAAUUGAUAUCAUUGUUUGAUACGAUUUCAUAUGUUUGGUCUUGUGUGCAUUUAUGUCUCAUGUAUUAAAUGGCUUAUUGAAAAGUUUUAAAUCUCAAAAUGAUGUAAAAUUAAUCAAUUUUAAAAGCCAAAAAUAAAAUGGUGAGUGUAAUACAAGUAUAAGAGCUAGCCAAUAUUCAAUUAGACACAAAAGGUUUUCCGAGUCUAAACCAGAUUAGCUUUGGUUGCUCUCGGGACAACAUUCGGAUAACCGGAUUUUCAAUCUGGAAAACCGGAUUUGUUAAGCCUCCUCUCUGCCUCAUAACCGGUAUACCGGUUAUCAAAAUCAGAAAGCCGAAUUCGUGGGGAAACUAGCUGGAACAAAACCGGAUUUCCGGUUCAAGACAAUCCAGAAAGCCGAAUUUUCGGAGGCUCUCGAAACCGUCCAGCCGGUUAAGGAAACCGGCAAGCCGAAUUCCCACUUGUUGCUCUCGAGUCCAUAUCCGGCCAACCGGAUUCCAAAUCCGGAAAGCCGUUUUCGGCUUUCACCUUUCUGCCCUCUAACCGGCUUGCCAGUUAGUGAAAUCCGGCAAGCCGGAUUCGUGAGUUUUCUCACUAUUCUUCCUCUUCCUCUCAUUCGGAAUUCCGGUUCUUGUUCUCUUUCUAAAAACCGGUUCCUCUCUCUCAUUUUUUUUUUCAUUCCAAAAUCCAUCAAUCUCAUCCUUUUUUCACUUCAAAUCCUUUAUGCUUGUAUUUGAACACACCAACAUUUACUAUUUUAUUUUUAUUUUAUUUUGCAUUUGGAUUAUAUGGAUGUUUGCUAUGAUUUUAGAUUAUAUGUCUGUUUUGAAUUAUAUGGAUUUGAUAUAGUUAUAUGUUAUGUUCUUUACUUAUGUUUUGGAUAAUUUUGAAUUAAUGUGCUUGAUUUGAGGUUUUAAUGAUUGAUAAGGGGAGACAAAUAUGAUAUGUUUUUGGAUAAAAUCAUUUCGGUUAAAAUUUUAAAUUGGCCAUAUAUUUAGGAGGAGCAUAUAAUAUGAUUUUGGAUAAUAUGCAUUUUGAAUUUUUUUAUUGUCCAAAGGGGGAGACAAAAUAAUAUAUCAUUUCAAUAUUGUCAAAAGGAGGACAAUAAUAUGCACUUUGAGUAUUCUUUCGAUGAUUUUGAUGAUAUGUGAUUAUGGUGAUGAUUUUGAUGAUUUUGAGAUAUGCUGACGAUUUGAUUACAUAGGUGUUUUAUAUGAUAAAUUUAUGUUAUGAGUUGUUGACUUGGUAAUUGAUGGAAUAAUGGUUCAUGAUAUUUUAGUGUGAUGAUUUGUGUAUGUAGUUGGCUUUUAUCAUGAUCUAUAAUAAUUUGGAUGUGUAUUAAAUUUGUAUUUGAGGUGAUGCUUGUUGUUAGGGAGAGAUUCUUUCAAAAUUUCUACUCAAACAACAUGGGUAACAAAUUUGUUACUUUUAUUCUUUUCCUUUACGUUUUCUUUUUUAUGAUGAAGGGGGAGAAGAAUACAUGUCUUCAAAUUCAUAAAAAAAAAAAAAUUCUUUGCCAAUUAAGUUUUUCUUUUUGAUGAUGAGGGGGAGAAAAAUCCAUGUAUUUAAAUAUGUUAAUUUAACUAAUUGGCAAAUUAUAAGAGAAGAUUAUUUUUAGGGGGAGCAAUUUAUGGAAUCAUUCUUUAAAUACAUGAAAUGUUUGUCAUCGUAAAAAAGGGGGAGAUUGUUAACAUAUAUGUUUCCAUAAUAUUGAUUUUGAUGAUAACAAAUAAGAUUAAGAAUGAUUAAUCUUUUAAGCCCAAAUUAUUUAAUAUUCUUUUUAAAUAAAUCAUUAUUUUUACAUUAUAAAGGUUUUAUAUUUAAUGAAAAAAUGAUUUUAUGAAAUUGAUUGUUUUUAUUCUUUUUAAAUAAAUCAUUAUUUUCACAUUAUAAAUGUUUCAUAUUUAAUGGAAAAAUGAUUUUAUGAAAUUGGUUGUUUUUCAAAGUUUAUGGUUUAAUUGAAAGAAUUUUGAAAACUUUGAAAUAAACAAGUAUUGCUUGAAAUUUUGGUAAAGGACUUAUUUGAAAAGUGUCAUAGCAUUUUUGGCUAUAUCAUAUUUUCAGAAAGUUUUGGGAUUAACAAAGCAUUACUUAGAAAUUUUGAAAUUGGACCUAUUUGAAAAAUUUCAUAACGUUUUGGGCCGUAAUAUAAUUUUAUAAAGUUUUGGGGUCAAACUAUAAUUUCAAAAAAUAGUGCAUUGUGCAGGUUACUGUAGCAUCCGGCUUACCGGAUAUAAAAACCGGAAAACUAGAUAUUGGGCAGAAUGUAUCCAGAACGUAAACGGCUUACCGGAUUUCGUAACCGACGAGCCGAAUAGGCAAAAUUCAAAAUUUUGCCUUAACGGUAACAUAAAUCCGGCUUAUCGGAUUCCAUAAACGGCAAACCGAAUACGCCCAGAAUGUGCAUAACGACUAAUUCUUGAGUUCAAACUAUAUAAACUCAAAACCAAUUCAUUUUUAGUAAAUCCAAGCAAGCAAGAACAAGUGCACAUAACAUAUAUUGAGCUUCAAUUUCAUGAAUCAUCAUUCAUUAAAUCAUCUUUGUUCUUCAAUUUGUAUAUCCACUCCUAAAGAGAGAUUCAUUGUUGUAUUUUUCAUUUCUCAUCAAAUUGUGAGAGUACAAGUGUGAGAAACACUUGGAGUGAAGAGAUUGGCGAGAUAAUCUCUUGUUGUAAAGGUUCAUUGACACCUUGAAGUCAAUUGUAAACGUUUGAAGCCUUGGAAAGGCUUGGAUUGUGAAAUCCUCAAGCCCGGUAUGCUUGGAGGCGUGGACGUAGGCGGGGAUUGCCGAACCACAUAAAAAUCUUUAAGUUUGCUUUCUCUUCCUUUACUCAUUUAUUAUUGUGCUUUCAUUGAAUUUAUUGUUUUCGAAUUAAUUAAGACAUUAGAUUGGAUUUGUGUGUGGUUUGCUUAGGAUAAUUUUUAAAAUUCCAAUUCACCCCCCUCUUGGAUUGCCUAGUUAGUAUUUCAAAUAAUUCUAAUUCUAAAUUAUGAUUUUUCAAUCCGAGAAGUAAACACAUUAUUAUGGUAUUGGCUAAGCAAUUAAACUUCGGCACGUGUACCGUACAUAUGUCAAAUUAAAAUUUCACAUACUUGACAAGUGGAGGAAGCAUUCUGACUAAUGAUUUACGUGGAGAAACACCGCUGCUUCCAUAACAUGGGUGUGAUUAUAUAAGCACCUCAUAUUUUACGAGGCAUACUUGCAAAUUGCAAUGAUGCUGUAGUAGCUCUGGUGGACUAAUAGUGGCUGGAGAUUGAUGUGAUUAAGAGUGUAUUUGAGAGUGAGGUACUGUAACUUUUAAGAUGCAGUUGUUGUGGAGUAAAAGUUACAAAUGUAGAAUAGAAAUUGAGAAAAAAAAUUUAUUAAACUACCAAAGUCCAACUAUAAGUGUUACCAAAUACUUUAGUAGCUGGACUUUAACAGUCCAACUACCUCACCACACUCUCAAAAGGACUAUAAGAAGCUACAAGUGACGUAACUUUUCAGCUACCUUUCGUUCAAGUUGUAAAGCCAACAGACAACCAUGUGCAAGUGUCUGAUUGUCUGUACUGACUGCCUAGCGCCCACUUGGAUAAGUUUGGGCCCUCCAAGUUUCACGUGUGUUGAAAUGGUCUCGUAAUGAUUUUAUUUAUUUUCAAAUCCUUUCGUUUUUUUUUUUUUUUUUGGUCAAAAAAAUAAAAAAUAAAAAAAAUCCUUUGGCUUGAGCUUAGUUACAUACUUACAUGAUUGUCACGCGGUCUUUAGCCGAGUGAUGGCUGCAACUUUCGUAAUUUGAAUCCUUUAGACGAUUCAUGAGUCUUCUUUAAAAAUAAAAUUUGGAUGGAAAUCUUUCAUUAAUUUGUGGGUGUAACAAAUAUUUCGUUUGGGCCAUAUUAUUCUAGAGUAGAUGUUAUUUCCAAUAGAU